GAUGAACGCUGGCGGCGUGCUUAACACAUGCAAGUCGAACGGUGAAGCAGAGCUUGCUCUGUGGAUCAGUGGCGAACGGGUGAGUAAUACGUGAGCAAUCUGCCCCUGACUCUGGGAUAAGCGCUGGAAACGGUGUCUAAUACUGGAUAAGAGCCAUGGCCGCAUGGUCUGUGGUUGGAAAGAUUUUUCGGUUGGGGAUGAGCUCACGGCCUAUCAGCUUGUUGGUGAGGUAAUGGCUCACCAAGGCGUCGACGGGUAGCCGGCCUGAGAGGGUGACCGGCCACACUGGGACUGAGACACGGCCCAGACUCCUACGGGAGGCAGCAGUGGGGAAUAUUGCACAAUGGGCGGAAGCCUGAUGCAGCAACGCCGCGUGAGGGAUGACGGCCUUCGGGUUGUAAACCUCUUUUAGCAGGGAAGAAGCUUUUGUGACGGUACCUGCAGAAAAAGCGCCGGCUAACUACGUGCCAGCAGCCGCGGUAAUACGUAGGGCGCAAGCGUUAUCCGGAAUUAUUGGGCGUAAAGAGCUCGUAGGCGGUUUGUCGCGUCUGCUGUGAAAUCCCGAGGCUCAACCUCGGGCCUGCAGUGGGUACGGGCAGACUAGAGUGCGGUAGGGGAGAUUGGAAUUCCUGGUGUAGCGGUGGAAUGCGCAGAUAUCAGGAGGAACACCGAUGGCGAAGGCAGAUCUCUGGGCCGUAACUGACGCUGAGGAGCGAAAGGGUGGGGAGCAAACAGGCUUAGAUACCCUGGUAGUCCACCCCGUAAACGUUGGGAACUAGUUGUGGGGUCCAUUCCACGGAUUCCGUGACGCAGCUAACGCAUUAAGUUCCCCGCCUGGGGAGUACGGCCGCAAGGCUAAAACUCAAAGGAAUUGACGGGGACCCGCACAAGCGGCGGAGCAUGCGGAUUAAUUCGAUGCAACGCGAAGAACCUUACCAAGGCUUGACAUACACCAGAACACCCUGGAAACAGGGGACUCUUUGGACACUGGUGAACAGGUGGUGCAUGGUUGUCGUCAGCUCGUGUCGUGAGAUGUUGGGUUAAGUCCCGCAACGAGCGCAACCCUCGUUCUAUGUUGCCAGCACGUAAUGGUGGGAACUCAUGGGAUACUGCCGGGGUCAACUCGGAGGAAGGUGGGGAUGACGUCAAAUCAUCAUGCCCCUUAUGUCUUGGGCUUCACGCAUGCUACAAUGGCCGGUACAAAGGGCUGCGAUACCGUAAGGUGGAGCGAAUCCCAAAAAGCCGGUCCCAGUUCGGAUUGAGGUCUGCAACUCGACCUCAUGAAGUCGGAGUCGCUAGUAAUCGCAGAUCAGCAACGCUGCGGUGAAUACGUUCCCGGGUCUUGUACACAC
rnacentral:rRNA from 1 species